rnacentral:rRNA from 1 species
GAUGAACGCUGGCGGCGUGCCUAAUACAUGCAAGUCGAGCGAACGGACGAGAAGCUUGCUUCUCUGAUGUUAGCGGCGGACGGGUGAGUAACACGUGGAUAACCUACCUAUAAGACUGGGAUAACUUCGGGAAACCGGAGCUAAUACCGGAUAAUAUUUUGAACCGCAUGGUUCAAAAGUGAAAGACGGUCUUGCUGUCACUUAUAGAUGGAUCCGCGCUGCAUUAGCUAGUUGGUAAGGUAACGGCUUACCAAGGCAAUGAUGCAUAGCCGACCUGAGAGGGUGAUCGGCCACACUGGAACUGAGACACGGUCCAGACUCCUACGGGAGGCAGCAGUAGGGAAUCUUCCGCAAUGGGCGAAAGCCUGACGGAGCAACGCCGCGUGAGUGAUGAAGGUCUUCGGAUCGUAAAACUCUGUUAUUAGGGAAGAACAUAUGUGUAAGUAACUGUGCACAUCUUGACGGUACCUAAUCAGAAAGCCACGGCUAACUACGU